rnacentral:rRNA from 1 species
AUUGAACGCUGGCGGCAGGCCUAACACAUGCAAGUCGAGCGGGGUUUUCGGACCUAGCGGCGGACGGGUGAGUAAUGCGUAGGAAGCUACCCGAUAGAGGGGGAUACCAGUUGGAAACGACUGUUAAUACCGCAUAAUGUCUACGGACCAAAGUGUGGGACCUUCGGGCCACAUGCUAUCGGAUGCGCCUACGUGGGAUUAGCUAGUUGGUGAGGUAAUGGCUCACCAAGGCGACGAUCCCUAGCUGGGUUGAGAGGAUGAUCAGCCACCACUGGAACUGAGACACGGUCCAGACUCCUACGGGAGGCAGCAGUGGGGAAUAUUGGACAAUGGGCGCAAGCCUGAUCCAGCCAUGCCGCGUGUGUGAAGAAGGCCUUCGGGUUGUAAAGCACUUUCAGUAGGGAGGAAGCGUUGUGUGUUAAUAGUACACAGCGUUGACGUUACCUACAGAAGAAGCACCGGCUAACUCUGUGCCAGCCGCCGCGGUAAGAC